GAUGAACGCUGGCGGCGUGCCUAAUACAUGCAAGUCGAGCGAAUGGAUUAAGAGCUUGCUCUUAUGAAGUUAGCGGCGGACGGGUGAGUAACACGUGGGUAACCUGCCCAUAAGACUGGGAUAACUCCGGGAAACCGGGGCUAAUACCGGAUAACAUUUUGAACCGCAUGGUUCGAAAUUGAAAGGCGGCUUCGGCUGUCACUUAUGGAUGGACCCGCGUCGCAUUAGCUAGUUGGUGAGGUAACGGCCCACCAAGGCAACGAUGCGUAGCCGACCUGAGAGGGGGAACGGUCACACGGGGACUGAGACACGGCCCAGACUCUUACGGGAGGCAGCAGUAGGGAAUCUUCCGCAAUGGCCGAAAGUCUGACGGAGCAACGCCGCGUGAUUGAAGAAGGGUUUCGGCUCGUAAAACUCUGUUGUUAAGGAAGAACGCCAGGUAGAGUAACUGCUACCUGUGUGACGGUACUUAACCAGAAAGCCACGGCUAACUACGUGCCAGCCGCCGCCGUAA
rnacentral:rRNA from 1 species